rnacentral:tRNA from 1 species
AAGUAAAAAAGUAAAAUAUUACAUUUAGUUUCGACCUAAAAUUUUGAGUCCUCUCUGUACU